rnacentral:rRNA from 1 species
AACGAACGCUGGCGGCAUGCCUAACACAUGCAAGUCGAACGAAGCUUUCUGGCUUAGUGGCGCACGGGUGCGUAACUCGUGGGUAUCUGCCCCUUGCUUCGGAAUAACCGUUAGAAAUGACUGCUAAUACCGGAUGAAGUCUUCGGACCAAAGAGUUAUCGGCAAGGGAUGAGCCCGCGUAGGAUUAGGUAGUUGGUGGGGUAAAGGUCUACCAAGCCGACGAUCCUUAGCUGGUCUGAGAGGAUGAUCAGCCACACUGGGACUGAGACACGGCCCAGACUCCUACGGGAGGCAGCAGUGGGGAAUAUUGGACAAUGGACGCAAGUCUGAUCCAGCAAUGCCGCGUGAGUGAUGAAGGCCUUAGGGUUGUAAAGCUCUUUUAACAGGGAUGAUAAUGACAGUACCUGGAGAAUAAGCUCCGGCUAACUCCGUG